rnacentral:rRNA from 1 species
AAGUCUCAGUUCGGAUUGAAGGCUGAAAUUCGCCUUCAUGAAGCCGGAAUUGCUAGUAAUGGCAGGUCAGCAUACUGCCGUGAAUACGUUCCCGGGCCUUGUACACACCGCCCGUCACACCAUGAGAGUUGGGAAUACCCGAAGCCUGUGAGCUAACUUUUAGAGGCAGCAGUCGAAGGUAGAAUCAAUGAUUGGGGUGAAGUCGUAACAAGGUAGC